GCAGUCGAGCGCGGGAAGCGAACGGAACUCUUCGGAGGGAAGUUCGUGGAACGAGCGGCGGACGGGUGAGUAACACGUAGGCAACCUGCCUGUAAGACUGGGAUAACUCGCGGAAACGCGAGCUAAUACCGGAUAACACUUUCUAUCACCUGAUGGAAAGUUGAAAGGCGGCUUUUGCUGUCACUUACAGAUGGGCCUGCGGCGCAUUAGCUAGUUGGUGAGGUAACGGCUCACCAAGGCGACGAUGCGUAGCCGACCUGAGAGGGUGAUCGGCCACACUGGGACUGAGACACGGCCCAGACUCCUACGGGAGGCAGCAGUAGGGAAUCUUCCGCAAUGGACGAAAGUCUGACGGAGCAACGCCGCGUGAGUGAUGAAGGUUUUCGGAUCGUAAAACUCUGUUGUCAGGGAAGAACAAGUACGAUAGUAACUGAUCGUACCUUGACGGUACCUGACCAGAAAGCCACGGCUAACUACGUGCCAGCAGCCGCGGUAAUACGUAGGUGGCAAGCGUUGUCCGGAAUUAUUGGGCGUAAAGCGCUCGCAGGCGGUUCUUUAAGUCUGAUGUGAAAUCUUGCGGCUCAACCGCAAACGUGCAUUGGAAACUGGAGGACUUGAGUGCAGAAGAGGAGAGUGGAAUUCCACGUGUAGCGGUGAAAUGCGUAGAGAUGUGGAGGAACACCAGUGGCGAAGGCGACUCUCUGGUCUGUAACUGACGCUGAGGAGCGAAAGCGUGGGGAGCGAACAGGAUUAGAUACCCUGGUAGUCCACGCCGUAAACGAUGAGUGCUAGGUGUUAGGGGGUUUCCGCCCCUUAGUGCUGAAGUUAACGCAUUAAGCACUCCGCCUGGGGAGUACGGCCGCAAGGCUGAA
rnacentral:rRNA from 1 species